UAAGUUGGUAGUGAAAGCGUUCGGCUCAACCGGAUAACAUUACCAAACUGCUUUAGCUAGAGGAUGAGAGAGGUUAUUGGAAUUCCCUGUGUAGGAGUGAAAUCCGUAGAUAUGGGGAGGAACACCGAUGGCGUAGGCAGAUAACUGGCUCAUUCCUGACACUAAGGCACGAAAGCGUGGGGAGCAAACAGGAUUAGAUACCCUGGUAGUCCACGCCGUAAACUAUGGAUGCUA
rnacentral:rRNA from 1 species